CGCUCACCACUUAUCAGUCAGAGUAUUGCUUAUGAUGUGCAGAUGGACCUCGAAGACACUUAUACGAUCCUAUUUUAUGGAGCUGGUACUCUUGUCACAUUGUUGAUUCUAUCAGCUAUUAUUUCCUCCAUUGAUUCCGUCCCUUUGUUUUCCAAAGUGAUGGAAGUUUUUGGCCUUGGGUUCACAGUCUGGUUCAGCUUUCGGUAUCUGAUCUAUAAGGAAAAUAGGGAUGAGUUAGUCUCAAAGCUUGAUGAUCUCAAGCAGAAGAUAGUAGGGCCGAGUGAUAACUGAGUACUUGGGGUAGUCGACGCCGAAUGCAAGAUCAGCAUAGUGUGGAGUCAGGUAUACCUAAAUAGUUUAGUGACAUGUUUUGCAGUGGUUUACCGAAGUGGAUAUAUCCAUAUUUCUCUCUCUUCGUGAUGAGCCUUUAAACUCUGAAUGUGGCAAUGGUGGCGUGAAUCAGACGGUCUGUAAUAUCCAAUUUGGAGAUGUUUGACCGGAAACUAUUUGGCAACCAGUUGACUAGAAUUUGUUACUAUAAUAUCUCAUGCUGUGAUUGAGUGUU